ACCCAGCACUCACUGUGAUGCUGUCUUCGUGGCCCCUCCAAAUCUCCCACCUCCACCCCAGGCCUGACAGGCAGCCUCAGGUUCCCUGGCUGCAGGAGCGUCAGCUCUGAGGUCAUGGGCACUGGCAAGUUCACAGCCCAGUCCUCCAGCCACCCAUCCCCCUCCCAUUUUCUCUGGCACGGCAGAGCAGAGCACAGGAAGCCUGAAUGGCCCUCAAGCCAGCCAUCAUGCGGUGCUGCGAGUACCUUCAGCGGCUGUGGACUCACCGGAGAGGGAUCUUGACCCGGAGGUAGCGGUCCACAGCAAUUGCCAGCAAAGCCAGGAUGGAGCUCUGGGUGAGGAUGAGGACUGGACAGGCAACCAUGAGGCAGGUGUGGAAGUAGGUCUGUGGCCCAAUGUUGAUGAGGAUGGCAAGGGGGAUGACCAGGGCACCCACGGCCACAUCAGCCACCGCCAGCGACACGAUGAAGCAGAAGGUGGCAUCCCGCAGCGCCUGGUUCACCUUCACCGCCCAGAUCACCAGCACGUUCCCGGGCACAGAGACCAGGGCGAUGAGCACCUCGAUGCCGAUGUAGGCGGCCUGGAAGGCUGAGAUGGAGGGCGGCAUGGCGGGGACAGGCUGGGAACAUCAGCAGACGGGCACCAAAGGGCACGAGGCAAGCACCUGUGUGGUCAGGGAAGCCUGGGAUGGGGAGGCCCGUCUGGCAGGGCAGGGAGCCCAGGCUGCCCUGGAACUCUAGGUAACCCGCGGAGACGUGUCCCACUUGGCACAUGCAGCUCCUGCCCAGGCUGGAGGGGCACCUGGCCCCUUCUCUGCCUAAUCUUUGUCCCUUCCCUUUAUCGUCCCCACAGGUUCCAUUCAGCAACUUAAAAUAGCAGCGCUCACUCCUCCACUGGCUUUUUUAUCAGGUGUGAGGCAGCUCCCAGCGCGCGCGCGCGCGCACACACACACACACACACACACACACACACGGGUCUUCCAUGCCUGGCUCUGCCCACCCCUGUGCACAGGAUGCAGGGAGCUCACCAUCCUGCCUGCUGGCCGGCAGGGGUCCCAGAGGCAGUGCCCAAAGUUCCGGGCAGCAGAGCUCGGGGCCGCGCGCGGUAGGGCUGGGCUGGGUUCUGGACACCGCGCGGCAGCUCACAGUCCUCGGGCUCCCGCCGCAGCGCUCCCAGCCCGGCCUUUCAAGCAAUCACAUGGUGCUGCAGAGACUCACCCCGGACGCUUUUAAAGAGGUAGCGCCCCUGAUUCGCACCUGGGACUGGGGUGGCAGACGCGGGUCUAGGGACAGCCGAGGAACAGACUGGGGCGUCGCUCCCUAUAACCCAGCGUGCGCGCACCUACCCUGCGCCCACCCACUUGAGACGCGUCUGGUGCCUGGAUCUUAGCAGUCCCCUGGUCCCGCUCCAGCUCUGUCGGGUACCCUUGCCCAUGGCCUGCCCCAAGGGGGCAUUGCAGUCUCUUCUUUCAGCUCUCGCCUGCACCCGCCUUGGGGAGCCCAAGGGACGAACCAAGGCUCAGACUUACCCAAGGUCACCAAAGCUGGCGGAGCUCCCGGCUACCUGAGCCGUACUGUCCAAGUGCCCCCUUCAGCAGUCGCUCGCUCCAGGGAUUCCUGGGGAAGCCAAGGCCGGCCUGUAAGGUCUAGAGGGAUGGUAGUUGGCUGGGACUCGACUCGGGCGCCGGCGCCUCUGUCGCCCCCGGCGCGGGAGCUGAGUGACAAUCGGGCUCCGCACACCGGGAGAGGACGGGGGCGGCGGCGGCACUCGCGGGCCCCUCCCUCCUCAUCCUCCGUCUCCUCCCCCACCCCCUCCUCUUAACAAAGGAAGUGUUACUGGGUGAGAAAAGCUGGAAAAAUGUGAUCUUUUCGAAGGGCCUGGUGUGUGCGCCCAGCCUCAGGAUUGGACAGAGGCGCAGCCUUCCUGUGUCCACUUUCUCCCUUCUCAAUGCAGGACUCCUGGGAGCCCUGGUCUGGCCUCCAGCAACCCCUCACCCCUCACGGCAAAGCAUCUCUUCUGCAGGACUUCAGAAUGCCCCCUGUGGGAUCUCCCAAAGCAGUUAGUUGGUAGCCCCGGCACCCUCCCCCAAUCCUAAAACCCUGCUCUCUCCAUGAAACCAGUCCUUGCAUCUUCUCAUCCCGCAUUGUUUUGCAGACUCUACCCUGAGUCAUUAUAUUCCUUUCUCAUCCAUCUUUCAGAACUGCCUUUUAGUCUAUUAGCAAUUUCCAUUUUGCAGAUGAGGAUGCUGAGGCUCCGGGAAGUGACCCAGCCUCCCCGGAUCGCCUGUCAGUGUCACCGGCCCUGCGCUCCUUUUCCUUCCUCCUCCCUCUUCGUAGCACAGCGCUAAGCCAUAAGGCAUCCAGUUCAAUCCCCUCAUGUUAUAGAUAAAGAAGCAGGCUCAGGGAAGGAAGGGACUUCGAAAGGUCACAGGGCAAAUCCUAACAGGACUUGCCUAACAAAAUACGAAACCCAGGCUCCUGACUCUCUCCACUGUCCAGACUCCUCCCCUGGCCACCUUCUGCCAGUUUCGGUUUAGGCAGUGCACUGGUAUUAACUAAUGACCAGACCCUGGAAACAGAUGAAUGUCUCAUAGAGAUCCCAACCUGAGAAAUCCUUUUUGUCGGUAUUGGGCAAGGGUCCUAGGAGGGCAAAGAGAGUUAGGCUGGGGACCCCAAUGUUACCUAGCCACAACCCAACCCGGCCUCUGGAGGUCCUUGCCCCUCAUUGGAUCACAGAAUGCAAGGAAAAGGGUUCUGCCCAGAGGAGGGUGAGUACGUUGCUUCUGCUGGGGGCUGCACUGAAUCACCCUGAGGAAUGAGGUGGGACCUGGAAGCUGGGUAGCUGGGAGGCGGGGAGGAAGGGCAGUUGAGUCUUCUGAGGAGGAGGGAAAAGUCCUCUGUGGGGAAAGAUAACUUCCAUUUCUGCCUUUAGGGGGAGCAAGGACUCAGUGCCUCAGACAACAAAAUCACAUUCCUUCCCUAGAAGCUACUUGGAGAAAUUGGGAAGUGUAAACUCCUCUUCCUCCUCACCCCCCUCCACUUCCCCUGCUGACUUUGUCAACACGCCCAGCAGCACCUGACAUUCUGCCCGUUUUGCCUGCCAGCCAGACAUGAAGGUCUUUUCCACCAUCCCCUGCCUCUCCGCCCUUCCCUUGGCUUAAGCCAUUUUUGGCUCAAGGCUUUCUCUCUCAGUUUACACUCAGCUUCCCAAUGGUCACUCAUCUAGAUGUCAGAAGAGCCUGCAAAGACCCAAAUGGACCCAGCUUGGGGACAGGGGUAGGUGAGUGGGGUCUUCCCCUCUAACCAUGGGCAGCAUCUUCAGCUCUGAAGGGCACCUGAAUGCCCACCCCCACCACCCACAUGCAUACACUCCCUCCUCCAAUGUCUUACUACAGGUCGCUGACAUGUAGUGGAUGCAUUUGCAUAAUGCGUGUAGGUAGUUUGUUUGUUUCUCAGUUAUGGGCAAAAUAAGCCAAAACUUUCUUCCCCUCGCUUCUCCAUCCUUCCACCCCUGCCUGUUCCCAGGCCUCAGGGAUUAGACCAGCCUAUUUGACAGCAGAAGUGGGCAAGGCAGGGUCUAUUCCAGAGAGCUGCCUUGGGAGAAGCACAUGGUCUCCUCCAUCCUCUGGCUUGAAACGGAGGUGGGAGGGUUAGUGCUGGGAUCGCCUGUGCAGCAGGGCCAUUUGGUGUGGUGAAAAGAACAUUUGACCAAAGUCAGAAGAGCUGGAGCUUGCUUCUAGUCUCUACUCUGCCGCUCACUGUCUGUGUGAGCUCAAGCAGGUCACUUUUCCUCUCCUGGACUCAGUUUACCCAUCUUACACCAACAGCUGGUAAGUCCAUUCCAAGGUGGGAGAGAUGGGCUGAGAUGGAGACCACAGAACUCGGUCCUUCCACCUGGAAACGUUCUAAGUCCAGGCUCCCCCAUGAUGGGCAGAUACCAGGGCUGAGAGGAGGGGAAGUUUAUGAUGGAGGCAAGUAGAGGGAGAGGCAAGGUCACAGGUCUAUAACCAGGAAAGGACAAUGAGGAAGGCUGUAGGCAAACAGGUGAAGCCAUAACUCUCUGGCUUUCACAAUGUGUCCAAAGCUUCUAUUUUACCUGUGACUCCGGGGGUGAGAUAAUGCCACAGUAAGUGUAAAGAUCCCCUGGGGUCCUUUUACCUCUUGGUCCUACUUCUUUCCUUCCUAAGCCACCAUCAUGGGUUUCUCCACUGGCCCCUUCCACCUGCAGCCUCCUUACUGUGGGCAGGGGUGAGUGGGGAAGAUGGAGGGCUGCAGGGGAGGGACUCCUGGGUGAGGGGAACUAUGCUGAGCAGCCCUGCUCUCUUCUCCCUGGAAGUCUCCAAAUUGGACUAGACUCCCCUGGUCAGGAAGGACUGCCCACGAAGGAUGAAGUAUCCCAGCACACCUCUCGGGAGCCCAGAAGGGAAGGCAAAAGAUAAGGAAACUGAGACCCAGAGAAGGAAUGAACUUGGCCAUACCCACGGAGCCAUCAGGAGCAGGGCUUGGUGCCCGGGAGGGUCCCGGAGUUGUGGAGGACUACUAUGAAGAUGCCCCUCAGGAGCUGCAAGCAUGGGGGUUGCAAGCCCGGCUGGAUCAAUCUCUGCCCAGAAUCAGCUGGAGUUCCCGGCGGUGUGUCCAAGGGGUCCUGGACACGAGAGGACCAUACUGGCUGGCAGGGGCUGGGGAGGAUUCUGGAGAAAGCAACACAUAGCCUGGGCCUUGGAGGAGGUGCCGGAUGCUCUGUGCUUGCAGAGAUGGGCUGGUGGCCAGGAGGAGGACUUUGUGGGCAGAGAGGGGACGAACAGCCUGAGCAAGGGGUGUGGGAAAUUGCGUGGCAUGUUGUGGGCAAGACCAAGGGCUUGACUGGCCCCAGGAUGAGCAUCAGAGUGACAACUAGGGGCCACGUUGCUGAGGCCCCAAGGGCAGGCUGAAAGGACUGUAGUGGGUGAUUCACCCACUUAAAGGCCUCACCCACAGAAGGCCUUCGCCCAGCCCUAGAUCUGCCCUGUAGCACUGAGGAAAGCCCGACCAACCCCCACAUCUCCCUGAGCCUCAGUUCUCUUAUACAUAAAAGAACAUUACCUCUUUGACUUCAUGUGAAAGUACUUUUUAGGUUAUAAAUUACUAGACAAAUACACAGUCUGCUCUGUUGGUAA